UCACGUCUUACGACGGCAGUUUCACUAGAGUUCCCAGCGUUACCUGAUGGCAACUAGUGAUGGGGGUUGCGCUCGUUGCGGGACUUAACCCAACACCUCACGACACGAGCUGACGACAGCCAUGCAGCACCUGUGUUCCAGUUCCCUUUCGGGCACAGCCGCCUUUCAGCAGCCUUCCGGACAUGUCAAGGGUAGGUAAGGUUUUUCGCGUUGCGUCGAAUUAAACCACAUCAUCCACCGCUUGUGCGGGCCCCCGUCAAUUCCUUUGAGUUUUAGCCUUGCGGCCGUACUCCCCAGGCGGGAUACUUAACGCGUUAGCUUCGCUACCGAGAGGGUCGAUACUCCCGACAGCCAGUAUCCAUCGUUUACGGCGUAGACUAC
rnacentral:misc_RNA from 1 species